AGACUGGCCCCUCACACCUGAAAUCAGCAGCAGAAGGGGUGGGUGGACAUGUAUGGACUGACCCUUCUCCAACACUGGAACAAGAACAUCCUUGACAGGUAUCCUUCCAGCCUGUUCUUGGACACUCAUCAGAACGCCUGCGAAGCUGCUGUCCUCUAUGGACUAAGGAGAGCAAGAACCACCUUGAUUUUAUUCUGCCCAAGAGCCUAACUCCUGUACACUCCCAUUUAGGAGACCGUAAGACAAAGUCUUGUCCAAGCUUACGCAGCUAUCCAUGGCACUGGAAAAAAAGUCAAAUAUAGACCAUCCAAACCCCAAACCCUCUGGACAACCAGACAAGGCAGACCUAACGCUCAAAGGGAAAGUCAGCCAGUGCGCAGCCCUGUCAAGAUCUCGAGAAAUGUUCCAGGCAGGCUUUAGAUCAGACCUAUCACUUCC